GAUGAACGCUGGCGGCGUGCUUAACACAUGCAAGUCGAACGAAGAUGCCGGAGUGCUUGCACUUUGGCAGACUGAGUGGCGGACGGGUGAGUAACGCGUGGGUAACCUGCCUUAUACAGGGGGAUAACAGUUGGAAACGACUGCUAAUACCGCAUAAGCGUACGGUAUCGCAUGAUACAGUGUGAAAAACUCCGGUGGUAUAAGAUGGACCCGCGUCUGAUUAGCUUGUUGGUGAGGUAACGGCCCACCAAGGCGACGAUCAGUAGCCGGCCUGAGAGGGUGAACGGCCACAUUGGGACUGAGACACGGCCCAAACUCCUACGGGAGGCAGCAGUGGGGAAUAUUGCACAAUGGGGGGAAACCCUGAUGCAGCGACGCCGCGUGAGUGAUGAAGUAUUUCGGUAUGUAAAACUCUAUCAGCAGGGAAGAUAAUGACGGUACCUGACUAAGAAGCAACCGGCUAAAUACGUGCCAGC
rnacentral:rRNA from 1 species